AUGAGACUGAAAGCUCCUGGAUGGGAAAAGCUCUAUCCUAGAGUCUGUGGCACAGGAAUUAACACCCAUUGCCUCCUAGAAGGCACACGGAGGCCGAUUCUCAGCUCCCGGAAAAACAACUUAAAGCUUGAGUCAAGACACCCCAUGUGCUACUCAAGGAUCUUCCCUGCAACACUGUUUAUCAUAAGAGAUUGUAAACGUGAAUGCCUAUCAACAGCAGAGUGGUCAAAUUAUAGUAUGCCAAUGAUGGAGUGCUCUGUGGUUGUGAAAUGACAGAAGAUCUAAGUAUGCUGUUAAGAGAGAAGAGGCAAUUUACAUACAUGUGUGUUCCACAGGCAAAGACAAUUCAUUGAAAGACAUUUAUUCAUUCAACAAAUAUUUGUUAACCAUUUUAAGGUAUCAAGAAACUUAGUAACUUGUGAGGGGGUGGGUCUGAGGGGGUAAAUGGUAACUUGUACUUUCUGGUAAGCUUCUGUACAUUAAAAAAAAAAAACUCCACAGGCAUUACUUUGUAUAAAGUCAAAAUAAGUUUGGGAAAACAAGAAGAAAUAUCUAGCAAGUACUUGAUUAGAAAAGGACAGAGCUAUACAGAACUCAGCAGUAACUUACAUUUUCCCCCUGCAAUUCUACAAAGGAGGAUGGCAGUAGGCGCAACCUAUUUUUAGUGCAGGUAGGAAUUUAAACCCGGAAAAAAAACCCAACGAACCCACCCUAGGGCUGAUAAUAACCUGAAUACCGAUUAACGUCGGCGGCCCAGGUCUUCCUACCACACAAUCUGCAGAAGUUUUAUCUGUAGGUGCGGUGCAACUGAAGCUGAGGGCGCUGCUGCUAUCGAUCUCAAGGGUGCAUCUUACACACGGGGGCAUUCACCUCGCAGGCCAGGGUCAAGUUGGAAAGCGACCCGGAAUCUGGAACCUCUCGGUCCGCUUUACCAACGGGGCAUCUCAGGCCCCAAGAGGUCGCGCGGGGCUGGGUUGUGACUGCCCCAGCGCUGCCGUCAAAGGCCACACUGCUCACACGGUAAACUCACACUGCUUACAGUGUAAAGCUUACACGUCCGGUAAAACUCCCGCAGCUUCCAGCCGCCCUCGGCGUCCAGUCCACGGGCCCCGGGACAUGGUGGAGGGCCCGGAGCCAGCACCU
rnacentral:lncRNA from 1 species